UGGAUCAAAGCCAGUCGAUUNGGGUGUUUAGCUGUUAACUAANUUUUUGUGGGUUNGAAUCCCAUUGAUCUAG
rnacentral:tRNA from 1 species